UCAACAACGGAUCUCUUGGUUCUGGCAUCGAUGAAGAACGCAGCGAAAUGCGAUACGUAGUGUGAAUUGCAGAAUUCAGUGAAUCAUCGAAUCUUUGAACGCACAUUGCGCCCUUUGGUAUUCCAAAGGGCAUGCCUGUUCGAGCGUCAUUUGUACCCUCAAGCUUUGCUUGGUGUUGGGCGUCUUGUCUUUUGGCUCUUUGCCCAAAGACUCGCCUUAAAACGAUUGGCAGCCGGCCUACUGGUUUCGCAGCGCAGCACAUUUUUGCGCUUGCAAUCAGCAAAAGAGGACGGCACUCCAUCAAGACUCCUUCUCACGUUUGACCUCGGAUCAGGUAGGGAUACCCGCUGAACUUAAGCAUAUCAAUAAGCGGAGGAA
rnacentral:rRNA from 1 species